UAUGAAAGUGUUGUAUUUUGAUAUAUAGUUUUCAAAGAAGAAGAAGUCCUAGUGUUGUGUUCUAUGUGUGUUUCGAGAAAUCUAGAAAUUUCCUAUUAAAUAGGAUUGAAUAUGAAAAAUGAACUGAAAUAAUUACAGAAUUUUCAAUCCAAGACUUGUAGAAUAUUUUGCUUAAUUUGAUCUACUGUUAACUUUGUUUCUUAGACCUAAGUGAAGAGCCUUUAUAUAUGCGUGUUUCGAGAAAUCUAGGAAUUUCCUAUUAAAUAGGAUUGAAUAUGAAAAAUAAACUGAAAUAAUUUUAGAGUUAUCGAUUCAAGACUUUUAGAAUAUUAUGCUUAAUUUGAUCUACUGUUAACUGUGUUUCUUAGAUCUAAGUAAAGAGCCUAUAUAUUUUUAAUAAGUGAUUUGAUAAAAAAUGUGCUUCUUUAGGAACAUAGGAUUGUUUGCUGUUCUCUUAAAAGAUGAGAUUUUUAUUUUUGUUUAAUGUCAUGUUUUGUGUAAGAAGAAUUUCUUAAAAUGUGAAAUUUCAUAGAGAUAUUAGAGAAAAAAGGGAAGAAUUUGCUGUAUAUACGUCAGUUGUACCCUUGUACCAUAGAUGAAUCAUAGUAUCAUAGCAUAAGCUUAUGCUAUAUUUUCUCCAUGUUUGCACUGAGUAUGAAAAUUUCAUAAGUAUUGAACUGUACUUUGUCUAGAAUAAAAACCUUCAAGUUCAUUUCAACUCCAAGAUUACAAAAAUCCAUUCAAAAUUACAACGUUCACCUUCCAUCUGUACUAUAAUAAAGUAAAGAACUGGCUUAUACACGUACGGGAUAGGAAAAUCAUGUUUGACGCAUCAUCACGUCUCAACUACUGGACUGAUUAACUUGAAAUUUUGCAUAUAUAGACUCUUAAUUAACCGAGGAUGGUUGUAGGCCUGUUUUCAAAUCUCCAAAGUUUCAUUACGUCAAGUUUUCAGUUUAUCAAGUUAAAAUAGACCCUUGCAGAGCACGGGUUAUCUGCUAGUCUACAGUAUUGAGUUGUAAAUUACACAAGAACUGGACUCCUAAAUCUGUUUACAAAUUUUGUUUCAUGUAAAUUGUGUUUAUAAAGUGAUAGACUAAAUUAAUUUAGAGGAUAGUAUCAUAGAGAAACAAUAGCAUAACUAGAUAUCUCAUGGUAUAGGGCGUUUAUGUCGCAACUUUUACUGUAAUCUCAAGCCGAUUACUGUUGAUUAUUGUCGAAUUUUACUGUUUUGUUGGGGUGAGAGUAUAUGGAAGGCACAAUAUGAGAGACUACCAGUGUCACACAGCUUCACGGGAAAGAAUUACAUGAAUAUCGGCUUGAGAUAACAGUAAAAGUUGCGACAUAAACGCCCUAUACCAUGGGAUAUCUACUUAUGCUAUUGUUUCUCUAUGAUAGUAUUGAGCUUUCUUGGAACAGAGAUUUCCAAAAACAUUGGUUCUAUGUGGUGUGAAGAUUUUUGUGAUCAGAUCUCAAUUUAAUAUUUAUAAAAUAUCUGAAAUUUAAAUAUUUGAUUCAUAAUACGCAUGCCUUAUGUCCUUAAAGAAUAAUUGUAAAGUAUCUUGAGUAUAGUGCUCUAUUUUAAUAUUUAAAAUCUAUUUUUUAAUAAAGAUGUGUAAAUUUGA